GUUGAUCAUUGAAUCAAGUAAUGAACUUUCAAGAUCAUGGUAAUCAGAGAGGGAUAAGUAUCUGUUUGAUGUGGGAAACAUCUGUUAAAUAAUUUCUCCUGAGUCUCUGCAGUAGUUGGCAAGUCUCAUUGCUUUAGCAAUGUUUUCAUUAUAGCUCUGUCUAUAAAAUGGCAUAAUAUGUUUUGUACUACUGGUGACUUCUCAGGGUAAACUAGUAGCAGACAUUUUAAUUCCAAAUUUUUGUUAAAAGUUUUUACAAUACAUUGUAUAAAUCAAUAUAGUGCUUUUCAUCUGCAUAGUCCUGUAUUGAAAAUUUCAAUUUUUGUGCUAAUAGAAAUCACUAUUAAAAUAACCUAUAUGUAAUUUACGAGUGACACAUCUAGCUUUGUUUAAACCUAGUUACUUUUAAAAUGAAGAAGUAACUUUGUCCUUAAGUGUGUUAGCCUAAAAGUAGAUGUACCAUUCAUGUACUUCCUUUUCUUGAUUCUAUACACAGAAAAGACAGGUUUCCUAAUGAGCAUCUACUGAGAAGCUGUCCUAGGUUAAAAUAUAAAGAUGUAUUCUAUUCCCAUCCUCAAGAGCUGCUGAAAUCAGGAGGAGCAUAUUUUUUCCCUUAUCUCCCAUCUAUGUCUUGCCACAUGACUCGGAGAUAACUCCCUCCAGGAGCCAUUUCUGUUUAACAGGCAAGCAAGGAUCCACUGCGUGACUCAUUAGACUGAUGACAGCCCGUUGUGAAGUGCUCUGCCCAGGGGGAAGGAGCUAAGCAUCCCCACCUGGAUAUAAUCUGGGGUUUGGGACAGAGCAGGUAGUCUUUCCACUGGAUUCCCAGAGGAACAGCUGCUCUUACCCACUGGUUUCCAGAGGACAAGAACCACCAGAUCUUUUCUAUGGGAUCACCACUUCAAUAAGACCAUUUCAUCUGGACUGCUGCCACCACCCUAACUAGCAGGGUGUCAGGGUAUGAGAAAAGAAUUUGUGAAGUCAGUAAGCUACCGGCACUCAUUGUUCUCCUUUCUCUGUGCAAAAUACUUGUCAGCCUGGCCACUGAGGAGAAGAGGAGGAAACCUCAAAAUGAACAGUGUCCUGCUCUACACCACUGUGUUCUUAAGCUCUGUAGAGUCCAGGACAGGAAACGCUGGUGUGUGUGUGAUGGAGAUCUUGCAUCAGGCCAGCCCUGUGAAGACAGACUCAGUGCACUCGGCCUCAUGAAGGGUGUUAUCUGCCAAGAUGCUGCUGCGGAGCUCAAGAAGAGAAGAAGCUAUUCAAAGCAUGUCUAGAAGGAUUCAAGAAUUGAAGAGAAUCCCUUGCACUAUAAGAACACUGUGGGUGGUAAACACCUUCUUCACAAUGAGAAAAUAGCAGGAAAAGAUUUUAUGGUCUUUAAUCAAUAUAUAUAACUGUACUCAUUGAUGGAGGUGAACUGUAGGAUUUUGCUUUAGCAGAGUGAGAAGAAUUCACUGGUGUCUCAUCUUUUUUUUUCUCUUGUUAUUUUUUUUUUUCUAAGACCAGAGCACUCAAGUAUUUUAGUAGGUGGAAAGAAAGCAGCAGAAAGCAACAUGAAAGACAGGGCUCACAGGAGGAGAGAACAGCAUUGCACAGAAGAUGUUAAGCCAGACUUACAUAGGCUUGCAGGCAUAAAGGUUCCAUAGUGAGAUCUGUAGCUGAAGACACACAUCACCUCUAAGGGGAGAAGCUCAUUCUGUAGAGAAAGUAUGCAGCAGACAGUGAUGAUGAAGGACGAAGAUGAUGAUGAAGACAAGGUUAAACCAUGCUGUUUCUUUAGUGAUACGUAGUUUUUGUGAAGAUUUUCUCUAAAUCUCUGCUGGAUGUUCUUGUUUCUGAUGCCAUCACCAAUGAUUGGUAGUAUGCUAAAUAUAUACAAAUUCUGCACUCUGAUUGGUUGGUGUGUUAUGGAAUAAUGUUUACUGAAUACUUACAUAAUUGUUGUCAAUUUUGCUGCAACUUUUUUUUUGCGUGUUUUGAUGUUCUCUAGGCCAAAUUAAAAUGUACAGAACAAGAUAAAGGGAACUGGGAGGAAUAAGGGGUGAUUCUCCAGUGGUAGUUGCUUCCUAUAAAAACCUACCACAAAGUACAUUUGAUGGCAGUGGGACUGAAUUUUCCAGUUAAGCAUCCUCUGAAAGGAAGGAAAUUUAGUUGUCUGAUUCAAUAAGUAGGGCUGAUGAAGAGGUUUACAUGAACAGUGUACUAUAGGUCUAAACUAAAACCUGAGUGCAGAUAUGCCCUGUGAAGAACAGAUUGGUGAAAGUCAAAAGUAGGGAUCGGGUGGGAGGCAGAGAUCUGAGCAUCAGGAUCUUGACAACUGAAGCUGCAGGCUCUGAUUUCCUUACUUCUCAUGAGGUCUGUGAUCAUGUUCCUUGUUUCUCUCCAGACAUAAAGCAGUGAUAAAUGAGCUCAGAAGUAGGUUACUGCUGUCAGUGUGUGCUAGGUGUGAUCUUAAAAUGCUGGCUAGAUCUGGAUUCUGGAUUUCCAUAGUGAUUGUUUCCUGAAUGAUACCAGGUUUACAUGGAAAUUAGGAGUUAAUCUCUAGCAUAUCAGCUCUGGAUUUGAACAAGAGCCUGCCGUAUAAUUGCUGUGAGCACAGCUCAAAUACUGCAGUACUCAGGGAAUCAGGCACUUUGGUCUUUGGCAGCAACAGGUUUUUAUUGUGACUUAAUUUUGGUCAUUUCUGUAUGCUUAAAUCUCUUUCUUGAGAAAGACAGAAUUCAGAACUGGUGGUUGUGAUUAGGAUUAAGGAACUGUCCUAUUAAGCACUAUAUAAAAUAUACUGAGGGACAGAGCUCUAAAGAAGAUAAUAUCAGGUAGAAGAGAAUUGAAAUACCUUAUCUUGUUUCUCUAGUAGAUCAAGAAAAAGAAUGUUUUCUCAUUAGUCUUACAGCAUAUUACUCCAUGUUGCUACUUCUAAUAGAACUGUUUACUUUAAUUAUUUGCAAAAUAGCCUAUUUGUUUUCAAAUAUUUUUCAUUCUUUUAACAGCUUCUGGCCCUUCUUGUGCUGCCCUCAUAAACAACAACUAUAAAGUUUGCUUUCUCUGGCCAGAUUGUGUAAAGUACUGAAUUCUGUUAACUCUACUAAAUCAAGGCUUAGCUCCUUCCAUGUUCAAACCUUCCAAAUCAAACUGCAAUAUAAAUUAUCAGUAUUAAAAACUGUGAUACAAUGGUUGGAUUAUAUUUCAUUGGCAAGUAAAUCAAGUUCCAAUUGGAAAAGUAAUUAAUAGUAUAGAAUUCCUAAUGUCUCAAAUGCUGAUGUCCAGUCUGCACUAAUGUAAAUUCGUAAUCUGCUUUCUGAGAUCACCUUAUCCAUCUCUUGUCAUAUUAUUAUUUAAUCUGUUAAUUAAUAAAGAAAUUGUAUUCUUAUAUAUCUAACUUAAAGGUUGAUAAGCAUGGACUGUAGAUGGUGGAAGGAGCUGCCAAUCCAUUCUUUAAAGAAGUGGAGAGCAGAGAACUACCAAGAGAAAAUGUUUACACAAAUGCCCAAAAAGAUCAUUUAGACACAACAGCUCCAUUAGCAGAGUUAAUUGAUAAGCAUGACCCAAUUCCCUUCAGUCUAAUUACACCAGUUCCCAAAUUCCAUGAAAAACCAACAGCUGAGUAAUACACAGCUGGAAGAAGGGCUUCAAAUGCAGCUGUCUUGCUCCUUUUAACAGAGGAUUAAAAAGAUUCAAGAGAUCAUUAUGAUAAUCGGAAACCUUUUCCUCAUAUAAACUGUGGGGAGAUACUGCUUGCUCUCUGCUUUCUCAUGAGUGUUGCAAGAUAAUGAGAACAUGUAAAUCUCUUCUCCAAAACCAUAUGAAAGGCAAAACCAGUCUUGUUAUUGAGUAUAACAAAUUUGAUCCUGACUGCCAUAUCACUCAUAGCUCAGGAAAUUCACUAUUCCUCUAGUGAUUGUAACUGAAAGCAGAACCUAUUAUUUUGUUGUAUGAGAAUAAUUUUUUCUUUAGACAUUUAACCUUUUUCUUUUGGAAGCUACAUUUUCUGUCUCUCUUCCAAAUGCUUCCUACAAAUUUUGUAAAUCUCUUUAAAAAUAAAAAAUAUGUUGCAUUUUUUGGGUUAAAUUCUUAUUUCUAAAGUAUCAUUUUAACUGACUUAUUAUAUAAGGUCUAAGACUAAUAUCUUUGAAAAUAACUUUUGUGGACUGAUCUGAAUCACAUGUGUAUAUAUAUAUAUAAAUUUGAUAUAUGACUUCUUUUUUUGUGACAUUUUCAUUCAGUAUGUCUAGUUUCUUUUCAUUGACAUUUCUUUUUUCUCUAUAGAAAUGUAUACAAAUAUGAAAAAGUACAGUAAUAAUUCAAAUAUAUUUGAAAAAUGUGGAAUUCUGUUUCCAGGGGAAAAAAAUCAUUAAUCUAUCUGUCAGCAUUUUUUUUGUUUGAGACUUCUCUUUUUGGAGUAUAAAUAGUAUAAGCAUUGUUCAGACAUCCAGUAUUGAAAGGGAACUGCUAGUGCUAGUUUACAAAGAACUGGAUUUUACUCAGCAGCAGUUCUUAUUAAGUCAAGGUACUAGUCAAAAAGUAACCUGGUCUUUAAAGCCAGUUAAUCCUCAAAAUUAGACAUCUAUAGAUGUGAGCCAAAUAUAGAAAAAUCUGCUACAAGAUUGCAUGUCACCUUUGUAUGAUGAAAAAAAUUUUCAAUCCAAGCUCUCUGUGUGUCAUCUAGUUCAUGUGAGAGUAUUUGACAAGGAAUUACAACAUCAGCUGACAUCCUAUGCAGAAUGGAUGGAACACACAUGGAAGUACUCCAAAGAUGGAGUUGAAAUGUCCACACUCCUUUAUGUACCUAACAAUAAUCCCAUGUGAGAAUAUACUACUUAUCUUCUCUCUUUUUUGCCUGAUCCUGCAUUAGAAUGUGAUAGUUUGCAGUUAACCGUGAGAGUUUCUUUCAAUCUCACUCAGUACAGAAAUAGGAUACCCUGUGUCCUUUGGAAAGAUGGGCAGUCUGGCCUCUCCAGUCUGGAAUCCCACUGCAGUUUUGUAGAAGUUGUAGAGUUAAAAAUGCACCAUAUCCAACAUGAUUUUAUGCCUUUCCUUACCUGACAAGUUUUCUUGUCUGGCCUGUUCUUGACUUCUCAUGCAUACUAUUGUACUACGCUAGUGUGCAACGUUCUUCUGGGAACCUUUUUUACAUGAGGGUUCAAUAAUGAUAUUAAAAACACCUAUAAGCUAAUUUUUAUUAUAUCCAAAUAAUGCUCAAUUUCAAAUGGCACCCUUCUGUGAUUAUGAUAUCCUAUGUACUGCUCUCUUACAAACCAAACUAUUUUAACUUGAGUUUCACUUAACAACAGUAAAGAAACCUACAUGCUGGUUCUCUUUUAAUUUGAUUAUUUAAAAAAAUCCAAAGCAAGUAUUUGUAGGAUUUUCUUCUAAUGAGUUCAAAGGAUGGACUUCAAACUUGUAUGCAGAAGGCUGUAAUUGUUUCAUUUAAGUACUGACUGCCACUGUACUCAUUUAAUCGCAUUCAAUAAUAUUUGUGUCUAAAUUGUAUUUCUCUGAUCCACCCUGAGCAAGGGCAUAAUGAGAUAUAUACAGUCUGUGAGUACACCAGGAAAUGAAUAAUGACUCAGAAUUUCUCUUGUGUUUCCCCUUCCUGUUGUGUGGGACUAUGGGACUACUCCACUGGUCUAUGUGGAGCAGAUUGUUUGCUGUUGUGUAGAUGGCCAUGUACUUUGACUAACAAGAAUCAAAACCUCACCCUCAAGCAUGUCUGUGGGGAGGCAGAGGAGAAAAAUUAUCAAUAUGUAAUUUGGUGGGCAUAUUACUAAUCAGCUCAUUCAUGAAAAGUAGUACUCUGCUUUUGAACGCUAAACAAUUGUCUGUAAAGUAUGGUUCCUUACAAAUAGCAGCAGAACCUGUCUUUGAACUGUUAUUCCAGUGAUCCAAUAGUCCAAUUAAAGUAUGCUUUGGAAAACAAGGAACACAGCUCAAACAUGAAAAAACAUUUCUCUUGAAAUUACCUUUUCAUGCCUAUGAGCUGAAUGUAUUGAUAUGGUCUCUUAUGAUCUACCAUGCCAUGUCAAUUCUGGUUCUGAACAGAACAUUACCUUGUAUUAAGCCAGUGUGAAUGCCUUAAUAAACAUAUCUGCCUUAGUGCCUGUCACAUUGUGUUGGAUGUGCAAACUAUGAUUGAUAUAGAAAAAUAAACACAUUAAAAGAAAACAGUUCAUUUUCAGCUGCUGGAUUUUAAUAAAAGCUUACGCUAAAAGUGACCUAAAAAGAUUUAGCAAAAUAUACAUUGGCACAGGUAGAAAAAUUACCGUUGUACUCAUAAAUAUCCUGCAACUACAUCUGAGGUCUGCAUGAAUUACAUUAUUUUAUAAGCACAGUUGGGCUUUUCUAAACACAUUGCAAUAUAAAAUAGAAGGACAAUAGUAAGAUUUUCUAUUCUAGAUAUAUCUAAUGGUUCCUAUAGGAAAUAAUGUUCAUUCUUUAGAACUCCAAGCAUAGAUUUAAACAGGUUUGUUUAUCUUUUUUCAUUCAAGUCCAGACCUACAUGUACUACUUCACAACAGAAAGCAAGCUGAUUGAUUUCCAUGGGAGCAAAAUGCAAUUCUUUUCCUUUAACAGCAAACUCUGAUUUGUUUGACUAGUAUUACCCCAAAUCAAUAUCAGAGUUAGUGAGGACAAGAUCACUUUCUAUGCAGUAUGUGCACAAGCAAAUAUGCAGACACUUCCAGAUGAAUAUUUUAAAAUGCCAAGAAAGUACUAAUUGAGAGCUGAUUGCCCAUUACAAGGGUGGGAGCUGGUAAACUGAGCAGCAAAUGUCACAAUUCUGGGGUUUUUAAUCACCUAAAUAAAUAUUGACACGGGGUGAUAAUCAGUCCCUUCUUUCAGUGAUUAAGAACAAGUGGAUUUAUAUCUUCUGAUUUCUUUGUAAUAAAAUGCAAAACCACUCUGAAUUACAAGAAAAACUCAGGAUCUAAUUAACUACCAAUUUUUAUUAAAGCUUGAUCAAUUCUAGUCAGUAGAAUCUUUUAUUGACUUUACAUGGGCUGAGAAAGGAACUUUGUCACAUCCAUCAGAGUUAACAUGAAGAAAGAAAGAUUAUUAUCUCUUUGGAUUCAGUUUAGUUUUGGCUUUUGCUCUUGUUUCCCAAACUUUGUUUAAAACUCAGAUGGAAGAAGAGAACAGAAUUAAACUGAACAAAGGAAGGCCCAUUUUAAAUAGAGAGAAGUAUUGCUAAUAAUCUUGUACUUUUGAUUUUUGUGGCUCAUGGCAGCAUAACUGGACAUCUGAGCAGCUGCUCCCACAGAAGGGAUACUAGUGCUGAUUUUUCUUUGCAUUCUUCUGGUAGAGAGAGGCUCUCAGAAGAAACACUUUGAGUUGCAGCUCUUCAGAGAACCCAAGGCACACAAGGCUCCCAGCAUGGAGGCUUGCAGCUCACUAUUUCUCUUUGACAGUAUGCAUACUCCUGAUGGAAAUAUUUUGAUGUCAAAACACCCUUGCUUCUUGAGGUUUUCUUCUAAGAAACCUUUUUAUAUUGUGGAAAAAAAUAGAUUUUACAUUAUAAAAAGCACGUAAACAGUCCACUUUAACUUGCCUAGUAGUGUUUUAUUAUGCUCAUGAGGGCAUGGGCAUGUAACUAUGCAGAGUAGUUUGCACACUCUCAGCAUCCACAGAGUUUUCUUCAAAGCAUCAUCUUUGUGGUUGAGAAAUGAAAUGAAUAAUGUAACAGCCUUCUCUUAGCUUUCAUGCCCGAGACACAUUUGUAUACACAUACUGAAUGGUUAUGUGAUCUGAGACAAAAUUUUCAAUCAGAGGAUACCUAUGGAUAGUUUCUAAGACUGAUUCAAAUUAGUGAUAGGUAGAAAAACUUAACCUAAAAGGGGAGAGAAGAGCAAAAGAAUGACUGAAGAGAAAAUAAUAAUAAUGUAAAACAUUUAUAUUUCCAUUUUAAAAAGUAUGAUAAAAAUAUUUUGCUAUUGCAUACAUUUUCUCAGCAAAGGAUGCAAUUUUGAAACAUUAUGAAAAAGAAUUUUUGUACAGUGAUUGCUUUCUUGUUGUGAUAGAAUGAUACAUUGUGAUAGAUUUUAGCUGGAAAUAACUUUGCAUGUUCACUCAUUUAACAUAACAAAUUCUGGACUAAGUUCUCAUACUUUUGGCAUUUGAAGCAUGAAAACAUAGGUCCUGAAAAUGGAGACUGAAUGACACAGAGAUUAUUAAUUGUGCACAAGCACCUUCAUUUAGACAAUAGAGUAAUAAAUCUUCAAGUAUUCUUGGCCACUUCCUA